CCUACGGGGGGCAGCAGUGAGGAAUAUUGGUCAAUGGGCUUACGCCUGAACCAGCCAAGUAGCGUGAAGGAUGACUGCCCUAUGGGUUGUAAACUUCUUUUAUAUGGGAAUAAAAUGUUCCACGUGUGGGAUUUUGUAUGUACCAUAUGAAUAAGGAUCGGCUAACUCCGUGCCAGCAGCCGCGGUAAUACGGAGGAUCCGAGCGUUAUCCGGAUUUAUUGGGUUUAAAGGGUGCGCAGGCGGAAUGUCAAGUCAGCGGUAAAAUUUCGGGGCUCAACCCCGUCGUGCCGUUGAAACUGGCGUUCUUGAGUGAGCGAGAAGUAUGCGGAAUGCGUGGUGUAGCGGUGAAAUGCAUAGAUAUCACGAAGAACUCCGAUUGCGAAGGCAGUUCACUGGACUGCAACUGACACUGAGGCUCGAAAGUGUGGGUAUCAAACAGGAUUAGAUACCCCAGUAGUC
rnacentral:rRNA from 1 species